GGGGUGGGGGAGGGAAUUUGGGGUGGGAACUCUUGGGGUGGGAAUUCAUGGGGUGUUGGGAUCUUCCUGAGGUUGGAAAUGGCUGUACUGAGAUAUUGUUGGGGUGGGAAUCCGGGGUGGGGGGUGGGAAUUUGGUGUUGGAAUUCUUAAGGCACUGGGAUCUUUCUGAGGUUAGAAAUGAAAUGGCUGUACUGUGAUAUUGUUGGGGUGGGAAUUUGGGGGUUGGGAAACUGCUGGGGUGAGAAAUGGCUGCCGUGGGAGAUGGUUGGCAUCAAAAAUUAUUGGACACCGUAACUGCUGGCACUGAAGAUGGGGGGAGGGGGAGGGGGAGGGAAUUCUGUGGGGUGGCAAUUCUGGGGGAGAAAUUGUACUCUGAUCACGUUACACUCCCAAGUUGUUGGAAUUUGGAGGAAGGAACUGUUGGGGUGGGAAUUUGGGGGGCUGGGAGGUUUUCUGCAGAGGGAGGGAACUAUUGGUGGGAGGGAGCGGGGGGGAAGCGGGGAGGAGGGUGGGUGGUGAGCAAUUGAUUGCGGGGUGGGAGCUGGGGGGUGGGAAAUUGAUUAGAGGGUGGGAAUUUUAGGGGGUGGGAUCAGAAACAAUUGUUAGGGUGGGAAAUGGUUGGGAAUAUAAUCAUUUAUUUGCUGUUUUG
rnacentral:lncRNA from 7 species